CAGCCGCCGCGGGAAUACGUAGGUGGCAAGCGUUGUCCGGAAUUAUUGGGCGUAAAGGGCUCGCAGGCGGUUUCUUAAGUCUGAUGUGAAAGCCCACGGCUCAACCGUGGAGGGUCAUUGGAAACUGGGAGACUUGAGUGCAGAAGAGGAGAGCGGAAUUCCAUGUGUAGCGGUGAAAUGCGUAGAUAUAUGGAGGAACACCAGUAGCGAAGGCGGCUCUCUGGUCUGUAACUGACGCUGAGGCUCGAAAGCGUGGGGAGCAAACAGGAUUAGAUACCCCUGUAGUCCCUGUCUCUUAUAC
rnacentral:rRNA from 1 species